CAGCCUGGGGUGCACGGAGGAAGCUCAGGGGCUGUUCGGUCCGCUUCCAGAACCAGUCUCCAGCCCUGGGUAUGGUCUGUAGGGGCCCAUCCUGGAGCAUUAAAGUAAGGAUCUUCUACUUGAAACAGAUCUGAGUUUCAGAGUGAAACUUUCGGUUAACUUGAGCUUGCUCCUGAGCCCCCAUGACCUAGUAAAGGUAGAAUAUCCCAAGCAGUGGGAAUCCAUUGUGGAAGACACUCAUCCGACAUGAGACCUUUGACCAGGGCUUCAUGGCAGAGCCUGGACACUGACGUGAUGGUGCAGGUCUUGGAGCUGUUGGCCUUGGAGUAAUUCCUGUCCCUUCCACCUGGAGAAACAGAACAGAAUGAAAACAGCAAGAAGGAGGUAACCAUGGAGGAUUUGAUCCAGAUGCUUGAAGAGAAAGCUCUACAUUUGCAGGAUUCUGCCCUUUCUCAUCUGGGAGACACAGAGGAGAAGGACUCUGGGAUCCUGAUGACCAGGUCUCAGGUGAGUUGAAGUUUCUUCUGUCUCUCCUGAAAAACCAUCUUGGGUCUCACUGAGUAGAAACAUUUCCUUCC
rnacentral:lncRNA from 1 species